GUCUACAGCCAUGCCACCCUGAACAAGCCCGAUCCUGUCUGAUCUCGGAAGCUAAGCAGGGUCGGGCCUGGUUAGUACUUGGAUGGGAGACCACCUAGGAAGACCAGGUGCUGUAGGCA
rnacentral:rRNA from 1 species